UGCGUAGGCGGAUUAAUAAGUCAGUGGUGAAAACCUGCAGCUUAACUGUAGAACUGCCAUUGAUACUGUUAGUCUUGAGUACGGUCAAGGUAGGCGGAAUGUGUAAUGUAGCGGUGAAAUGCUUAGAUAUUACACAGAACACCGAUUGCGAAGGCAGCUUACUGGGCCAUUACUGACGCUGAGGCACGAAAGCGUGGGGAGCGAACAGGAUUAGAUACCCGAGUAGUCC
rnacentral:rRNA from 1 species